rnacentral:lncRNA from 1 species
UACUCAAAUACUGGCCUGAUCUGAGAACUGAUAAUUUUAUUGAGAGCAAGUCAUUAUGGAGGGACCAAUGGAGAAAGUUUGGUUCAUGCUAUAGUAUGAUGCCAGAUGACUAUAUUGUUUAUGCACUCAACAGUAGAAAGAGAAAUGACCUCAAGAAAAUCUUGACAAAUGCAGGUAAAUAAGUAAUUUAAGUUCAUGUUUCACACACAAAAGUUAGGGGAAACAAAAUAAAACGUGACGUUGUUUUGAGGUUGCAUUAUUUAUUAUAAUUGCUAGAGUUUUUGGUAUCCCCUUGACAGUUAGGAAUGAGUUACUAUGUUAACAUAAUGUUCUUUCUUGAAAUUUUCACUCCUAAUUUAAGGAACAUUAAUAUAAUGAUCCUAAAUAAAGGUGUCUGAUUUUAAUAUCAUUGUUAGGUAUUGUUGCAAGUGGAAAUCCAUAUCCAACACGUAGGAUACUACAAGCUUUCAGGAAAGCUUUAGGUGUGAAUGUUGACAUAGUUUGUGAGCCAGAUAGAAGUGGAAAUGUUUAUCUUGCAGAGGUCCAUCAAUGUGUUGAUGCUGCUGGAACAACAUCUAUAGACUGUGACAAUAAGGCAAGAGGAUGUGAUGAUGACCCCAUCUUUCCCUACAUGGGAUUCCAACCAGACAAAGAUCCCAAGUAAUAAGAUCAUGCAAUCAAAAUCUCCUAUAGUUGUAUUACCCCUGGAACAAAUAUAUAUAAAAAAUAAGGGGCUCUAAGGGUAUGUUAAGGAAAUAAAUAAUAAAAUAUCUGAAUAAAAUUCAAAAAAAAGGUUUGACCUAAUUAAUGUGCAAAUUAAACAUUUUUUACCUCGUGUUAUUGUCUAUUGUUUUAUUCUUAGAAAAAUUAGUUAAGAUGAGAUGUUGCAAUUCUACAUUUGUGCUUAUCGUGGCAUCAUCAAAGAGUAUUAUUAUUGCAACAUAUAAGAAAUGUUUGAGUAGAAACCACAAGAAAAGAUCAAAGAAGAUGAAUAUUUUUGUGUUGCUAAAGCUAAGUAAAAGAGAUUAAUUUUUACGACAAAACUUAUUCAAAUCUAAUAAUUUUAAAUUAAUUUUUUAAAUUUAUGUUAUUUUAUCUAUAAGAAAAUUUUAUAAUAUAUUAUUUAAAAAUGUUAUUAUCUAUAUAAAUAUUUUUUUUUAAAAAAAGGCAUCUAUAUAAAUUAUUUAUAUUGAGAUCUUAAUUAUUAAUAAUUUUAAAUAAUUUAUAUAAAGGAAAAUGUUAAAUAAUUUAUGUAAGAUAUUAAAAUAAAUUUUACACAAAAUUAAAUAUUUUUAAUUUAAUUAUUAUCUUAUUUAGUAGUGAUAAACAUUUUAGCUUCACUUCUGAUAUGUUUAUCACAAGAAUCUUGUGUUUAAUUUGGGAAAUUUCCGAAUCAUGAAGACUUAGUGAUUAAUUUUUUACCUAUUCAAACUAUAUAAAAAAAAAGGUUUUGGUGAUACACAUUUUGAAUUUUCUUUUGGCUAAAUGAUAUUUUUUGUCUUUUAUUUUUUUCAGUUUGGUCGUUUAUCUUUUAAAAUUUAUUUUGAUCUUUUAUCUUUUUAAAAAUGAUUAAAAAUUUUAUUUUAAUCAUUUAUCUUUUACAAAAUUCAUCCUACAAAAAUGCAAAAGGUUGACAUUGAAUCCGCUGUGAGACCUAGAUCUACAAAAUCCAACUUCGAAUAAACUAUUAAUCGUGACUUUCCCCACAUUUGUGUUUUACCCAACCCAUAUCAUGCCCAUUGUGAUGCAUGGUCAUAGGAUUCUGUGACACAUGCAUGUUCAUUCCAUCGAUAUCGUGGUGUAAUUAAUGUCCUUCAUUUGGUACAGAGGUUUUAAUAUAACUAGGCAUUAACACGCGCGUUGUGAGGAUUGAUAAAUAAAUGUACAAUAAUGAUAUAAUUUAGAGAAAAUAAAAAUAACUAAACAAAAAAAAUUAAUUAAUUAAAAAAUAAAAUUCACAAAAUAAAUAGUAAGUUUAGGAUUAAGGACAUUUACUAAAAUUGAUAUAUUAUAAUUAUGCAAUUUUAAUCUCUAAUGACAUCAAUUUAUUGUUAAUGUCACGUCAACUUAUUGUUGGACUGAUACGUCAUUUUUUAUUUUAGUGUCAUGUUAUGACUAACAUAUUAAGUAAUUUUUGUUAAAUUAAAAAUUGACGGCACAGUAGCGUCGAUCAAAAUUGUUAAAAAAAAUAAAAAUUUGAAGAUCAAAUUACAAUGAAAUUUUUUGAAGAAUCAAAAUUGCAUAAUCUUAAACUAUAAGGAUCAAAACUUUAUUUAAUCCUAUAUUUUAGAAGGCGGUCAUGAGUUUUUUAUGUUUAAUUGAAGAUGAUAGAAAUAUUCCUUAAAUUUAAAUUCAUAGGAGUGUUAAUUUGUGAAUAACAGUUAAAAAAUUAAGGAUGAAGCUUGAUUUAAACCUAUUGUAAUUGAUAUUUCUUUUUAUGGACUAAUUAGUUAUUGAAUCCUUUCUAAAAGAAAAAUAAAUGUUAUUGAAUCCAUGCUUAUUGUUUUUCCUUAGUUGAAUCUCAUCAGGAAAUUGAUUAGUAAUUUGAGUCUUUCAAUUGAGAAAUCAGGAUUUAAACCAUUCAAAUUCAAUAAUCAUAUAAUUCCUAAGCCUAAGAAUAAGGAUAUUAAUUGUAUGCAUCUGUGUAAAAAUCCGAAACAUAUUGUUUGUUGCAAAUUCUGCUCAUCAUUAUUAAGGUUCAUAAUUAAAAAUAAAAAUUUUGUCGCUUAAGGGAUCAGAGAUAAACUAAAUCCGGGAAAUCAAAUAUUUCAAAACCUAACCAUCUGCAUCAAUUGAAUUUUCUAAUACAAUUGCAUUCUUGUUUCUUUCAAUUAAAUAAAUUAAAAAAAUGAAACUUCCUGAUUUUUUUCUUUCUUCUCAAAUCAAAAGAUUAAUUGGUUUAUUAUUGUUAAAUCACAAUAAUUGUGAAAACGAUACUCUACUUAUCUUUAAUUUUACUUGCAUGACUGCACUUGCAACAAUCUUAAUACUUUACCUCCAAGAGAUAGUUAGACUGCAUAGGGUUCCAAUUGACUUAGUGUUAGAUUGCAAGCUCAAUUUUAGCAAUAUUGCCUACCAUCUCCAGUUAGAUUAUCAGAGUGAGAGGGAUCGACUAUAUAGUCUUUAGAGGAAAUUCUUAGGGAUUGCAUCUUAGAGGAGAAAUGGAGUUGGGAUAGGUACUACUUACCUUUGAUCGAUAGCGUUUUCUUACAAUAACAAUUUCCACUUUAGCUUAGGUAUGACACUUUAUCAGGUCUUGUAUGGCAAUAAAUUAAUGAUAUAGAAAUAUGUUGUACAAUGUUAUUUUUGCACUAGUGAAUAUAAAUUACAUUGUUAAUAUAUAUCCAAGAAUGUUGUACAAAUAACUUAAUUCAAACAUAAAUAUCUUCUUCAAAAUUUACUCUCUAAAAAUUAACAGCUGAAAAAAAAAACUUCAAACGCUCAAAGUGCAUGUAAUGCAAAUAAUACUACUUCAAUAAGGUAUUUUUUAUAAGUAAAUAAAUUUAAUUUGAGCCUCGAUAAAAAAAUUUCAAGUUCACUUUCUUUUUGUGAAACACAUGAAACUCAUGAUUUAUUUUGGUUAUCGAUAUAAAGCCUUUGUUAGUAGAUAUUUAUAAAUAUCCAUUGAGUCUUAAGACAAUAUCAUGAGCAUUCAAAAUUUAAUUCAUCUAAACUUUUAAUCAUAAAAAACACACUUCAAUAAAAGCUCACAUAACAAUUGGAUUAGUAAUCACUAUGAUGAUAAUGUUAUGAGUCAUAAAAACACAAAGUUAAUUAUAAUAUAAACCACUAUAAUAUUUGCAAGUCCCAUUAAUUUUAUUUGUGGUUGUAAUGUCACGUUAGUCACUAAGUAAAGGGAGAAGGGUGAGCUGUAGAUUUGCAUAUAAGGCUUCAAUAUUUGGUCAUCAACCACAACCCAAAGCUACUGAAAUUCCCAAAGGCAAAAAAUACAAGAUGAUCAUGAAUAGCAUCCUUUUGGUUUUACUACUCAUGGAAAUUCUUAACUGUGAAGCACAAUAUUUCGAUGCCAGCCCGUACGACUAUUUAGAACUAGCCUUAAGGUGGCCAAACUCCUACUGCUUAACACAUGAAGAUGGUUGCAGGGAAAUAGUGCCCCAAUAUUUCACUAUUAGCUACUUUCGUCCCAGGAAAUUGGGAGGGCCUGAUCUACAAUAUUGUCCCACGCCAAUCACUCUGUCAAAUAACAUUGUUAGUAUCUCUUCCAUUCCCAUACAUUGAGAUCACAGUUAUAACAUUUUAUGCGUUUGAUUUUCAAGUGUUAUUCACGGAAAAUGUCCUUGAAAUUUGUUAGAAUAAGACCUUUUUUAUACAUAAAUUUCUCCGUUAAGUAUUUACUUAAAAUGAAUUGAAUUUUGUAAGUUAAAUGAGCUAAAAUAAACUUAUGCACCUUAAUUUAUUUUAUCAUCUUAGUUAAUUUCUUCUUAUGCUUAUCAAGAAUUUUAUCCAAACAUCUCACUUAAAAUUUGUAAGGCUGAAUAAUUUGAUAAUUUGUAUAAUCAUGCAGAUUGAAACGAACAAAUAUGACCUACUUAGAUUCUGGCCUGAUCUGAGAACUGAUAAUUUUAUAGAGAGCAAGUCAUUAUGGAGGGACCAAUGGAAAAAAUUUGGAUCCUGCUGUUUUAUGAUGCCAGAUGACUAUUUUGUUUAUGCACUCAACAACAGAAAGAGAUACGACCUAAAGAGAAUCUUGACAAGUGCAGGUAAAUGUACGUAUAUAAAAUGAAAUUCAAAUUCAUGUUUCACACACGAAAAGUUAAGGAAAAAAGAAUAAUACUUGUCCAUGUUUUGAGCUUGAGUUGUUCUUGUUACAAUUGGUAUCCACUUGAUAUAUAGUGAGGAAUGAGUUUCAUACUAAGUUUAUAUAAAAUUUAUUCAUGAAAGUUUCAGUCAUAAUUUAAGGAACAUCCUAAUAAAUAUGGGUAUGUGAUUGUGCUCUCGUAAAUGUCAGGUAUUGUUGCCAAUGGAAAUUCAUAUCCAACGUAUAGGAUACUACAAAUUUUCAAGAAAACUCUAGGUUUGAAUGUGAGCAUAGUUUGUGAGUCAGAUAGAAGUGGCAAUGUUUAUCUUGCAGAGGUGCAUCAAUGUGUUGACAUCUCUGGAACAAUGCCGAUAAGUUGUGACAAUAAAGCAAAAGGAUGUGACGAUGACCCCAUCUUUCCCUAUAUGGGAUUUCAACCAGAUAAAGAUCCCAAAUAAUAACACCAUGCAAUCACAAUCUCCUAAUUGUAUUACCCCUUCAAUAUAUAUAAGAUAAUUUUAUUACUAUAAAAUUUUUAUAUAUAUAGUUUCUCAUUAUCCAUGUUCCUUGUUUGAUCCUCUUCUACAUCGAUCAUAUAUACAAGAUCACUGGCAAUCUGGCACUAUGCUUCCCAUCCCCUUGCUUCUUUUAUCUGAUCCCAUUUUACAACGCUCAUUUCAGGCAAGGGAAUAAGAUAAGGAGAAAAGAUGAAGGAAACGAAACAAAUUAAGGGAGAGAAGAAAUAUUGCUCACACGCAACGGAAACGAAACAAAUUAAGGGUGAGAAGAAAUAUUGCUCCACACACUAACACACAUAGGAGAUAAGAUAAGGAAGAGAAUUUGUCUGACUUUGACUUAAACUUAAUUUACUGAUUCACGAAUUCAUUGGUCUAGCUAGGUGCUGUACACAAGAAGCCUUUUAUAGGCAAAUUCAUAUUGAUAAAAUAAUAAAUACUUAAUAAUUAAUUAAGGAAAGGUACAAUUAAUAGAUUGUUAAAACUCAGUCUCAAGCGAUGCAAAUAGGCAGUGAAGUGAUGUUCUUAUCAGUGACAGCAAUUAGUGACAUAUUCGACAAAACAUUUAUAUAGAGCACGCGUCCCAAUCGGGUUUGCCUAACAACAUUUUCCGUUCUUCAUUUGUCUGUUAACAAGAAAGUGAUAAGAAUGCAAUUAUAAAAUCAACAUCAAUAAAAAAAAAACAGGAUAUGAAAAACAAGAGUAGCACCACUCUUUCCUUUGUAAAGUAUUUGUCAUCAAAGCUGUAAACAUCAAUAGCAGAGACAUCUACUUUGGCCGAUGUGGCAAUAACAUAAGACUAAUUAACACGUACGUCUCAAAGGAACUCCAUUAAUCUUGGAAGAGCCUGAAACGGCAAGUGAGAGAAACAUAAGCCAGACCAAAAAUGGGUGGAGAGCAAAUAGGGGAAGUAAGGGAUCACUCCUCUCUCUUCAGUGCUAUCAAAACCAGAUUUGUUGGGUUAGUGGGUUAACGUUCGAACGGGUAAGUCAAUAAUUGAACCUCAUCGACCAGUGCAUAUUAAAAAUAUGAAAUUUAAUUCAGAUGCAAACUAGAUACUAAGUUUUAUCUCAUGUAAUGGAAAGUUUAGUAGUGCUUUUUAUUUUAACAAACUUGGGAACUUGAGUUCAAGGCUUGUUGGCUCGGGCAAAACUUUACCAAUUUUUAUAAAAUCAUAUUCAAAUUUCAACUUGCUUCCUCACAUUCAAAUCGUAAUUCGUAAAACUAGCAGGCCACCCAUGUAACAAAGCGCAACAGACCUAUGUGCGUGACAGUGUCUCAGUAGCAUAUAUGAAAAAGGUCUGAAGCAAUCACAGGUUCAGUUUUCGAUCAAACCAGUCAGACCGGACAGGCCAAUCCGAAUUUUAUAACAGUGUCUCUCAACAUUUUCCAUUAUCAAUUUUUUCCUCUCAUAUAGUACAACUUUUAAUUAAAUAAGUAAUUAUUAAUUCAUAAUUAUAUCCAAUAGGUACUCGGUCGACAGAAAUAGCUGGAUAAGUAUUAGGCCCAUUACAAGAUGGGAAAGUCAUAAGUAAGAGGCAAUGGAGAUUGGAGAUUAAACUCCUUAACCAUACUUAGAAUCAGAUUAGCUAAGAUGCAUGGUAAUUGUCUGCAAGAAAGUCCAAAGUCUAACAAGAUUUGUAUAAAUAAAAAUGAGAUUCUUGAGGUAAAGACAUUAUUGAUGUUUAUUUGUUACUUUGAACAUCGGAAUGUUUUACAAAAGAAUACCAUCCUAGGGCAGACAGCAAGACCAAAUACCCUGAAGAAUCUAAGGAAGAGGGACGUUGCAAGAAGAAGACCGUUGAGCUCUUGGAAUAUGGAAAUGCAGGAGAUACUUUGGGUGAAGGCGCAUGAGCCGCCACUACUUUGGGUGGUUCAAUUUGAUGAUGAGGUGGAAGACAUGUCCACGCUGAUGGAGGAGGACAGACGUUGUUCGUUGAUCUCGGCGAGUUUCCAACAUGUUGGGCAAUUUUUCACUCUGAGGGCUAGAGCGAUUCAAGGUGGCGGUAACGCUGCUGCAUUAAGUGGCAAAGAUAGUUUAGAUUUGGUAGUAAUUAAAAGAAAACUAAAGGACAAUUUUAUCAUUUAACAUAAAAUUAGAAGUCUUUGUUAUCGUAGUUCAUUAAGGCUUAAGGGUGUGUUUGAUGCACAAGAAGGUAUAAUGCAAGCAUACCAAUACGUUCAACGUAUAUGUCUAAAGGAUCAUUUUUUAGUGGUAAAAUUGUAAAUUUGGUUCUCUUAUUUUUUUUCUAAAUUUAAUUUUGGUUUUCUUAUAAUUUAAUUUAUAAAUUUAAUUCCUUAAUUUUUUACAAUUCUGUUAUUUCAAUCUUCAAUCCCAAAAUUAAACGUUGACCGAUAAUUUAUUGUCUUGAUCGUGAAGUGUUACAUUUUUAUUGAAAGUGAAUCAUGAUGUAUUACACUUUUAUUAUUAGAUGUUGACGUUAAUAGCUGCAUGAAAUUAAGGUCUCAUAAAAAUGUGACAUCUGAUCAUCAAUAUUCAAUAAAAGUGUGAAACAUGACGGUCAAUGUUGACCCUCAACGUCUAAUUUUAGGAUUGAAUACUAAAAUAACGAAAUUACAAAAAAUUAAAAAACUAAAAUUCGUGAACUAAAUUAUAAGGAAACUAAAUUUACAAUUUUAUCUUUUUAUUUUAUACAUUAGUUGAUGGAUAAUAGAUAAUAUAAGUAAAAUAAUAUAAAAUUUAGAGUAAUACUCUUUUUAAUAUAAUUCUUCUAAAUAAAUAUUUUAAUACAAUUAAUAUUAUUAUAUAUCUUAUAAUAUAUUAUUAUGUAUUAGAUAUUAUAGCAUAUCUUCUAAAUAUAAUAUUAUAUGAUAAAUAUUAGGUUAUGCGUAAUAUGUCCAAUAUAUAAUAAUAUACAAAUUGUAACAUGUAUAUUAAUUAUUCAGCAAUGCUACUUGGUACUAAAAUGUUUACACGAAUUUGCAUGAAUUAAUUAAACUGGAUAAUUUUGUUUUUCAAAAUAAAUAUUAAUUAAAAUAAAAGAUAAGUCAUUGACGCAAAUACACGGUCGUGCAGUUUUUUACGAAACUGUUUUCGUACUAACAAGCAUUUCCCUUAAUUAAUCGCACAAAUAAUUUGAUAUAAUUUUAAGUAUAAUGGAAAGAUAUAUAAUAAAGAUAGUGGCUAGACAAGGUGGGAGGAGUGGCAACGAGAGAAAAAAUAAUAAGGAUAUAAUUAUGCCUUAAAGGUGGGUUUGAUUUAGAAGAUAAAAAUAAAAUAAAAAAAUUAGAAUAUAAUAAAUGCCGUUCACACAAAAAAACGUAUAAAUUUAUCUUUAAUAUCAUUUCUUUUCUUUCUGUCAAACACACCAUUAAUUAUAUUGCCAUAAGGUUUUCCCUGGUUUGAUACUUUUUUUUUUCUUUUGUCCUAUGACCAUUUGGUCAUGUGGUUUACCGUGAAUAGCUUAUUAAUCUCGUUCAUACACCUGGUGCACCCUCCUAUCAAAUUUUUUUUUCUCUUUAUGUCCUUCUCUCUCCUACUUCAUUCUCCGAUUGUCUCUAACUGUUGCCGCCAGUGGCAACGCCUUUGACAAUAACCCUUUAUUUUUUCCUUUUCCUCACUCCUUCUCAAACAAAUCCACGGCAUCGUCGUUAACUUCACUGGAACUUCACCAAAUCCACGACACCAGAGCGAACCGAACUAGAGCACCUACUUCGUCGCCUUUGUGAGUGAUUGCCAACACCAUGUUCGCAACAAAUCAAGGGGACUUCUUGUGGGUUUGUUGUCCCUGAUCUAAAUCAAGUUUAAUCUUGUUCGAUUGUUUUUGCUUUGAUCGUGUGGAUGAUAAAGGGAUGAUGAGGUCUUUGAAGGGGUCAUGGUCGUCGCAUGAACAAGGUAUGCACGCUGAGGCCUUGGUGUUUUCCGGAGCACUGGUUCGAUGGCAACGGACGCGUGACGACGGCGGUAGAAUUGUAGUGGCGGCGACAAAAACUCAGUAAGGAAUGAGGGGAAGUUGGAGGCAAAAGAGUAAAUGUUUUCAACGAGAGAGGUUCUAUGAUGAGAUCAUGGCAGUGCCUAGGAGUGUCUUGUCAUAUAUUCAUGUUUACAAUCAAACAUAUGUAACAAGUGAUUUUAUGUUGCCUUGUCCUUUGUUCUUUUGCAAAUCAAACGAUCAAGAGUCAAAAUAAUGUAAAAAAAUUGAAGUGUAUCAAACACAAUUGAAGAAAAGGAUGUAGGAGAUACGAUCCUAAUUUACUCUAAUAAAAACGGAAAAAUGUUUAUCAAUAUUUUUUAGUAUUGAUUAACAAAUUGAAAAGAAAAAAAAUAUAUUGAGAUGGACAGAAUUAUAUUAUCUAUAAUUUUUUUUUUACAUUUUCUUAUCAUUUCUAUAAUAAAUAUUUUUUAUUUUAAUUUUUUAACCAUUGUUUUAAAAAUAGUAUUAGCAAUAUCCUAUUUAAAAAAAAAACUACUGCUAAAGCACCACUUAAUUACAAUGAAUUGAUUGUUGAAGUCUUACUCGGAUAUAAAACAUUCAACCAAUGAAUACCACUGUCUCCAAAAUAAAGGUUAGGUUCCCCCACCUAAGAGCACUGCUUGAUCGGUUUGGCACUUAUUAAUUACCACUAGCAAGUGACAGAGACUCGCAAGUGUACUCGUAAAGGAGGUUAUUGGAGGGGAAAACAAUCAAAAGAUUUAUAAAAGCAUAAAGGGAAAAAUAUCUAACAAUUUGUUUAAUGGUUAAUAUUCUUUAAAAUAAGGUGUGAUAUCGCAUUAUCAAAUACUUGUAAUAAAGUAUUCAAUACCUUAAAUCAAAUAUAUUAUUUAAUAAACAAAAUUUUAUAAUUACUCAAAAGAAAUCUUUUGAUAUUUUCUUUUUAAAAUUUCUUAUAUUAAUGGAUUUUAUUUAUUCCUUUAAUUUUUCUAACUUAAUUUUAAUUAGAUAUUGGUUAACAGAACUAUUGCCAUAAUAUUUAAUAACAAACGGUUUUUCAAUAUCUGUUAACAGUUUUAAUAAAUUAUAAGAUUUUUAAAUAAAGUUUAACUAAAAUUACAAGUAAAGCUCCAUCAUAUAAAUAUUCUUCAUAACAAUAUGCCUUCUACAGCUUCGUCAUGAGCACAUUAAUUUAUAAGAAAUAAUUUAUAAUGAAAUUAUCUAGGUGUAAUGUCCUUUCAGAUAAGGUUUUAAUAUUUUUUUUCAAGGUCAUAAAGUUUAUGUUAAAUUUCUUUUAAAUGUGUUAUUUAUUUAAAGUAUCUAUCCACUUUAUUAAUUAAUCUAUGUUAAAAAAUUUGAUUUGUCAUCUUUUAUGGAUCUACCUCUAAUAAUACACGCUGUUUCCAUUAAUAAGUAGGAAUAUCAACGGAUACGAAUAACCCAUGAAAUCAAUCUAAUUAGUUUAAUUUGAAUUUUUUUAAGAUUCAGGUUAAAUUCAGCCCAACUCAUGUAGACCCAUUAGCAUACACAUUUUAACUUUUGAACUUGUGAUCCAACCUGACAUGAUUAGUGUCAUAUUAAGUUAAUUGAAAAAAUACAAAACACCACUAGCAUACACAUUUUAGCUUUUUGCUAAUACUCCUCUCUUUUUUUGGUAGCAAAAGAGAUAAAAAAAAAAAACAACAAAAUUACAAUAUAGUGAAAGGCAAAGCAAUCCCUAAAUAUCCAUGAAUAUCUCUUUUUUCAAUCUUUUUUUUUUUCUUCUAAGAUUCAUCUUUUUAACCCACCCAUGAUUUUUUUCAUUUAUUAGUUGUUUUUAUUUUUAUCUUGAUUUUUUUAUGUUUUGUUAGGCUAAUACAAUAUUUUAUUUUUAUAAAAAAUAAAAAUAUUAUAUAUACUAACAUUGAAACCAUUCAUUAAUUUUGUUAAUCAAAUACUAUUUUAAUUUGGUCUCUUUAAUUAGAGGACAUUUAGUUAUUAUAUAUUUGCAAAGAUACGGAAGAAAACAAAAACUAUUGCUCUAAAAAAUUAUAGUGUUUACAAAAUAAAAAAUAAUCUAUAAAUGUUUAAACCGAUUGACAUAAUCCAACCAACUCAUUAAUGAUCGAGUUUGUUUGAUUUGGAUUUGCCGUCUCCAUAAUUUUCUUAAAACUUAAAAUGAGUUAUCAAAAUUGAUAAUUGAUGUCGAAUUGUUUUAAUUAGUAGCUAGAUAAUAUCAACGUAUAAUAUUUGAAUUUUCAUGUUAUCUCAUCAUUUUUAUUUGUUUUGCAAAAUUAUUUUAUUUAUAUUCUUUAUCGUGUAUUUUAUUUUAUUCUUAAACCCUGUAACUAGAACAGUGCCCGUGCAUAGAAUGGAGGCACGUAGAAGUGUAAAAUGGAGGCUGGGCACUUAUAAUAAUACUAUUGAUGAUAGCAAAAGUGAAAUAAAAAAUAUGAAUUCGGUUUUGAAAAACUCAUUAUCAACAUGGUAUUCUUGAUAAAUUUGUUAUUAUUCAUCAAAGAGAUAUAGAAAGAACUUCAAUUGGUGAAAAAGUGAUUGAAGAAUAUCACCUAUAUAGAUGAUAUUGAAAACAUUAAUUUGUAGUGCUUUUUUUCCAAUUGUAUUUAGUGCUACUCAACUUGGAUAUUGAAAACAUUAAUUUAUAUUCUAAUGAUUGCGGAUAUAUAGGCUGGCUACCUAAGAAAAAGAUGAACUUAUGCAUCACGUGCUAGUGAUUUAAUAUUCCUUUGGAGAAAUUAUUAUCUUGUUGGAAAGAUAUUUUGGUAAAGUAUUUUUCUUUAUAUAAAGGGUAUCUUCUAAUUUAUGUAAUCCUUUCGAGACUUAAAAAUCAUUGUGAUUUUUGUGCUCUCCAGAGAAGGGAGUGUUUGAUAAAAUUAGCUAUAGAAUCGUUCAAAUUUGUAAGUUACCUGAAAGUUUAUAAUUAAGUUAGAAAAUGAAAAGUUAAAAAUUUAUAAGCUAACUUAUUUAAUUAAACGUGUUUCGUGAAAUUAAAUGAUAAGUUAAGUUAUAAAUAUAAAAUGGCAUGUAUAAAUGUAAAGGAUUAAAUAGGAUUUUAAAUAUAAAUAAAUAAAUAAAAGUUAGUUUCUUAUAAGCUAAUUGCAAUAACUUAUGAAGAUAAGAUAAAAGCCAAUAAAAUAACAUAUUAAGAUAUCUAAUUAUCUCUUAAUAUGUUAUUUUAUUUUCGUGUGGGGCGCGGUGAUGUAUCCUUUGGGUUUGAUUAAUUCGUGGUUUUAUGAAGAAAAAACCUAUACGAUGAGAUUCUAUUUGGGCAUAUUGUUGCAAUUGAAACUCUAUGAUAUAUAUUUAAAAUUCUUGGAACUCGUCUGUUCUCUAUACUAUGGUUCCGUUGGAGGUUCAUGAAUUAGUUUAGAAAAUAGUGCUGCAUGAGGAAGUUGUGAACACAUUCAUUUGAAACCCAUCCCCUUCGGACUACUACUCGGCAAAAUCUGUUUUUAGGUGACUUUGUUGGAGACUUACCAUUCUAAAUACAUGUGAAGAAAACUGGACCAAAAUCUAAAACUUGAGACUAUCAGAAAAUAUAAAUUUUUUUAUGGCUUAUCUAUAGAGAUAGCCUUCCUAUUAAUGCUUUUUGUUGGAGGAGACAUUUGUUUUGCUCUUCUUUUUGUUGCAAGAGUAAUGGAGUAAAGGAGACGUGGAUUCACACGUUGAGGGAUUGCCCAAUAGCUAAAUCCAUUUGGCAUAAGCUCCAUAUUCUUUCUUUUCUUAAUCACUACAACAAAGAUGAUGCUCUAUGAUUGCACCACUAUGUCAUGGGGAGUAAUUCUCAACUCUUUGGGACUGCAUGUUGGAUGAUUUGGAAAACCCGUAAUCACUGUUGUUUCCAGGGUGAAGAAUGAACACAAAUUUACACUAUGAACCAAAUCAUAAGUCAAUGUCAACUCAUUCAAACUCACUUUAAGGGAUCUUCCUCGACAAGAGACUUGCGUAAUGUCAUAUGAUCUGCAACUAUUUCUCAUUUCGUUAAGUUAAAUACUAAUGGAAGUUUUUUAAGUAACCCAAGGUCAUCAAGUAUAGGAGGUAUAGUGUGGAAUUCUCGGGGAUUUUGACUCUCCGGAUUCUAAGGUUACACUACGAACAUGCAUACUAAGCUCCUUGAAAUCCUCAAUGGGAUGCUCCAUGCAUGGAAGAAUGAGUUUAGACAUAUCAUCAGAGAGACAAACUUCUUAGUUGUUAUUCAGCUGAUGGAACAGCAGACACUUUUUUUUUUCACCUGUUUGUGAUGAUAAUUGUAUCUAUUAAGACACUCUUGACCCUCUAAUGAGAAAUUUGUAUCAUCCACACUUUGCGGGAUGAGAAUGCUUGCACUGAUAUCCUCGCAAAGGAAAGAACUAGUUUCCACCAAUGUAUCAUUGGUCACGCUAAAACUUUACUCCAAUGAUAUUUUGCCUUGUGUAAUUGUUGAUGCACUUAGCACAUUUUUUUUACACUUAUAAUUCUACUCUUUCCUUUUCUUCAUUAAUAAAAAAAAUAUUUCAUUAUGUUCUAAUUGUAUUGAGUUUUAAUUUAUUGGCUUAUCAAUACAUUUAAGUUUAAUUGUGGUUUUAAACUAUAAUAUCUUUUAACAUUAUUAUAAGGUAUUACUGUAUUAUUUUUUUAAAAAACCGUUUGACUGCUUAUUAUAAAUAGUUCAAAAGCCUGAAUUUUGUAAAGGAUGCAACCACAUGAAAAAAUACGUUAAAGAAAAUAUAUUACAAUAGUGUAUUACAAAUACUAUAUUUACAAUGUUUUGAUACACGAUUGUGUACUGUAUGUGUGUGUUAAAAUGAGUAUUUUAUUUUACAGUCUAUGAAAAAAUUUCUUUAACUCAUUACAAUUUAUAUCAAGAACAGUUCAUGAUUUCUAUUAAUGUGACAUGUUCCAUCUUAGUUAUCACCUCUAAGUCCAAUCAAUAUUGAGCAGUAUUUUUAAUAUGUUUUUAGCAGCAAAUAAGUAUAUAUGUAUAAUCAAUAAAUGGGUACAAGGGGCAGUACAAAAGAACUCGUAUACAAGUAGUAUUUUUAAUAUACUUGUUUCUACAUAUAUAUUUUAUGUAAAUAUUUUCUGUUAAUUGAAAUAACACUGACACCUGUAUAUAUUGAUGAACUGAAGUUGAAAACCAAUGCUUCGAUAGUAUUUUAAUUAUCUUGCAUGAUAAAGAGAUUUAUACAACAAUGUAUGAAAAGAACCCACCAUGUUGAUUUAUAAGGUCCACCGUACCAUCUCUGUAUUUACAACUAUGAAAAUACUGUUGUCUGAAGUCUGAACAAGGUGUCUCUAUUAUUUAGUUUUGUCGCGUGAUAAAAGAGAGAAGAAAAGUAUAAACAAGUGAUAAAAUAUAAAAUUACAGUGUUGACAUUAAAAAAAUUGUUGUACAAAUAACAGGAUUCAAAUAUAAAUAUCUUUACCUAACAUUACUCUGUCUUCAUUUAACAAUAUUUGAAAGGAAAAAAAAAAACUUUCAAGCGUUCUAAUUAGUGCAUGCAAUGCAAAUAGUACGUACUAGUCUGAUAACGUUUUUUUUAUUACUAAAUAUUUUUAAGUCUUGUUUUUUUUACUGCAUAAUUUUUUUUUCUAGUCAGAGAUUACGGAUUGUAUUUUAAUCCACUAGGUUAAAGACUAAUUUCACUUGAAGUAUAUAUCUGUUAUUGACCUAAGGAAAUUUUACACAAGAUGAAAAUCAAACAAGAAUUUUCUAUUAAAUAGAUUGAUCAUUUUCACUCAUAUGAACACAACUAAAUCUCGCUAAAAUUUGAUGUUCACUUUCUUUUUAAUGAAACACAUAAAAUCCAUUCAAUAAAAACUCAUGUAACAAUUGGAUUUGGAUCCUCUCAAGUCUCAAGUAAUUAAGUAAUCAAUAUAAUUGUUCUUAUUAAAAUCUGGAACUAGGAUAUAUCAAGAAAGACGUGACCAAAUUGGGCUUGUGUACUUCACACGUUGAUUUUGAGGAUGACCUUUGUUAGGAAGAUAAAAUGGAAGACCUACAACAAAUGACUCUGACGCUCAAGUAAUUAAGAAUAUGAAUGAGGAGAAAUAAACAAAUAUAUGCAUAUGAAAACAAGUACACGCAAGCUUGAGGUGUGAGCGAAUGUGAGUGUGUUGAGGAUUCGAUAGAUCCUGAUGAUAUUCAUAAGAAUGGAGCAUAACUGUGAGUUUUGUUUGUAGAGGCUGUUAUAGUCUUUGUAGAUAAUUCCCAACAUAUAGAUAAUAGCCAGAAGUUAAUAAAUGUUGCUAGAGAUAAACUGUAACUUAUAUAUAGAUAAAAACUAUAAGAUAAUUGUAUAUUGUAGAUAAUGUGUGAUUUUGUAAAUAAUUAAUUACCUACCAAUAGAUAAAGAUAUUCAAAUAUUAAUAGGUUAGAAAUAACAUGUCUGUCAAAAACUCUGACUGCUAAGGAUCGAGUGUCUACACUCUUAUGGUAAAACUGACGUGAAAAGUAUAUGUGUCUUAAAGUGUCAUAUAGGAUUGUAGAUCUUAGAUAGUACAAUGAUGAUGUCAUGUUGGGUCAUAAAAACAAAAUAUUAAUUUAUAAUAAAAACCACCAUAAUUUUGUAGGCCCCAUUAAUUUUGUUUUUGUGUUGGUGAUGUCACGUUAGUCACUAAGUAAAGGGAUAAAGGCGAGCUGAAGAUUUCUAUAUAAGGCUUCGAUAUUUGGUCAUGUAACCACAACCCAAAGCUACUGAAAUUCCCCAAAGGCAAAAAACAAUACAAGAUGAAGAGCGAGUUCCUUUUUGUUUUCCUAUUCUUGGGAAUUCUUAACUGUGAAGCACAAUAUUUCAAUGCUAACCCAUACGACUAUUUACAACUAGCCUUAAGGUGGCCUAAUUCCUAUUGCUUGACACAUGAAGGUGGUUGCAGGGAAAUAGUACCACAAUAUUUCACUAUUAGCUACCUUCAUCCCAUGAGAAGAGGAGGCCCGGAUCUGCAAAAUUGCCCCUCACCAUUUAAUAUGCCAAAUAGCACUGUUAGUAUAUCUCCUGCAUUCCCAUAACAUUUAUUUUGUUUUGUUUUCAAGUUUCCUUCACGGAAAUUGUCCUUAUUAGACUAAGGUUUUAUUGACAGAUUUUUUGAAAAAAAAUAAUAAAGUAAAAUAAAUUAAGUUUAUUCCAUAAGUUAAAAUUAAUUUAUGACCUUAACUGUAGAUAAAUUUUAUAAAAGUUUUUUCUUAAGAAAAAUUAGGAUGAGGAGGUGGCACUCGAGACCUAUACAGAAAAAAGUUUUUUUUUUUUUGAGUUUAAGUGUAGAAGUUAAUUUUAACUUACUUACCAAAGAAACUUAAUUUAUUUUAUAUGAAUUCUAUAAAUUAUAUGCAUGCAGAUGGAGACAAACAAAAAUGACCUACUCAAAUACUGGCCUGAUCUGAGAACUGAUAAUUUUAUAGAGAGUAAGUCAUUAUGGAGGGACCAAUGGAGAAAGUUUGGUUCAUGCUACAGUAUGAUGCCAGAUGACUAUAUUGUUUAUGCACUCAACAGCAGAAAGAGAAAUGACCUCAAGAAAAUCUUGACAAGUGCAGGUAAGUAUUUUUCUUUUUUAUCCACAAAUAUUAGUUAUUGAUUGUUAAUUUGUUAAUUGGAUAUUUGAAUCCACAAUCUUUUUUUUUUCUUUCAUACUUUUUCUUCUUUCAUACUUUAUUCACGGUCAAACCAACCUUAUAUAUUAUAACCUCUUAGGUAAGUACAUAUGAAAUUAAAUUCACUCAUGAAAAAUUAAGGCCUAAAGAAUUAAUAAAGCCUAACUUGGAAUCCUAUUAUAUUGAAAGUGAGGAAUCAGUUUCUUCAUAUUAUGUUUCUAUAGAAUUUAUCAUUGAAAAUUUGACUUCUAAUUUAAGUAACAUCCUAAACAUGAGUAUUUGAUUGUGAUCUAAUUGUCAGGUAUUGUUGCAAGUGGAAAUCCAUAUCCAACCCGUAGGAUACUGCAAGCUUUCAGGAAAGCUCUAGGUGUGAAUGUUGACAUAGUUUGUGAGCCAGAUAGAAGUGGAAAUGUUUAUCUUGCAGAGGUACAUCAAUGUGUUGAUGCUGCUGGAACAACGGCUAUAGAUUGCGACAAUAAGGCAAGAGGAUGUGAUGAUGACCCCAUCUUUCCCUACAUGGGAUUCCAACCAGAUAAAGAUCCCAAGUAAUAAUAUCAUGAAAUCAAAAUCUCCUAAAUUCUAUUACCCCUAUAACAAAUAUAUAUAGAAAAUAAGGGGUUCUAAGUGUAUGUUAAGGAAACAAUUAAUGAAAUAUUUCAAUAAAAUUUAUAAAAGGUUUGACCAAAUAUGUGCGAAAACAAGCUAGAACUUAAUCUUAUAUACCACGUGUACGUUGAUAUCUACUAUUUUACUAAUUCAUAGAAAAAUUUAAGAUGAGAUGUUUCGAUUCCACAUUUGUCCUAGUCAAGGCAUCAUUUAAUAAUAUUAUUAUAGGUAAAUAAUCAUUUUAUUCCAAGAAUGUUUAAAUUGGUGAAUAACUUAAUCUCUGAAACAAUAAAAAAUUUGAUUUAAUUAGUCUCUGCAUAUCUCUCAAGUUUUAAUAAAGUUAUGACAAAUUUAAAUUUAAAUGUAAAUCUUAAAAUAAAAAAUUAAAAUUAAUAUUUAAACAUAUCGUCCAAUAAAAUAAAGUUGGAACCACAGUUUCUAAACGGAGAGCGAAGCAGCCGCGGUUCGACCGGAACCGGACUUGUGACUUAUUCGGGCUUAUCUUCUGAUCUGAAACGUGUUUGACCCGUGCUUGCAUCGCAAACAUUGCUAAAAUUUCAAAAGUAAAUACAAAAAUUGAACAACUUGGGACUUGAACCAAGAUCCCUCAUCCCUCAUUUGUUAAACACAUUUGUAUCCUUUUUUAACCACUAAACCAAUACAAUUAUUUAAUAUAUUUGUGACAAAUAUUAUUUUCAUACAAUAUGUUAUAUAUAAAAAUAUAUAUUUAAUAUAGAUUGAAACAUGUGAUUCAAUUAGUGACCCAUGAAUCAACCGUUAACCUAGUGAUUUAGUAUUUUCACUAGAUCAAUGAUUGAUCCAAUUUUUAAAAUUAUGAUUGAAAUAAUUGAGCUUAAUAAACAAGCUAAGCAUCUCAACACACAUGAACAACUAUUAGCUAAGGAUGUGCUCCGUUGGUAGUCUUGAUGACAAUUAAUGUUGAUAAGUUAUUAUAGGAAAAUAAUCAGUUUAAUUAUAUAAUUGGUCCCUUAAUUAUAAUUAAAAUUUUAAUUGGCUCUCCUAAUUAUUAAAAAGUUCAAUCAAAUCUUCUAAUUGUUUAAAAAUACCACAAUAAAUUAUACACUUUUCAUUAUAAAAAAUAAACAUUUUUGCACUGAUUUCCAAUACAACCAAUGUAAAAUAAGAAAUUUUUAGGUUGCAUUGUAAAACUAGUGUCCAUGUUAAUGACCGAUGUAAAUAGAAAAUUUUACAUCAAUUUCUAAUACAAUCAAUGUAAAAAGAUAAUUUUACAUAUGUUGUCAACUAAAUUGAUGUAAAAAUAUUUAUUUACAUAAUUUUGUGUGUCAAUCAAACUAACAGUGUUGACAGAAAAAAUAUGAUUAUAAUUGUUGAGUCAAAAGACAAAUCAAGACCUUUAAUAAUUUUAAUUAGAUACAAAAAAUUAUAAUAUUUAAAAGUUAUGUCUUAUAUGUCAUCUGACAUAUGUAUUGUAUUUGCGUCUCAAAGAUCACACAAAAGCAAACAUACGUUGAAUUCUGGAAAAAUAUUUAAGAGUUCAUUUAAUACUUUGUAUUUGAGAUUUAUUUUACAGAAAAUGUCCUGAAACAUUUUUUCUAAGAUCUAUCAAAGGCCAAAGAAAUGAUAAAAUAAUCAAAAACUUAAAGGAUAACAUUUCUCUUCAUCUUAAAAAACGCGUCGUAUGACACUUUUUGUGAAUAAACUGUUAUAAGCUAAAGCAUGUUAACUUUUGCUAAAGUGUUGUUCAAGAAAGGUAAAGAGAAUGGUGUGGCAACAUAUCUACAAUUCAUGUUAAUACUCUUUUUAUAGUGGGGUUACACUACAUGGGUAACGCUAACAUACUCUUUAUGGGAAAAACCUUAUUAUUAUUCAACACUAAAACUUAAUCAAUUUAUAUAUUUAUUAUAUCAAGGGAGUUCAACUCAAUUGGUUGAAAAGAAUAUAUGAGUUAUAAAUUUCUUAGUACUAAACAUAAAAAAAUCUCGUAAUACUUGUCUUUGAUUUCUACAUAUAUAAAAAAUUAAUUCUUGCUUAUUAUAUAAAAAAUUAGUUGACUUUGAAAUCUCAUUGCACUACAGAUGAUAAUGAUAAAAAUAAAAAAAAAAUAUUAAUGUCUUUUUUAAGUUUCACUUUUUUCGUGUUUGAACUUUUUUAUUCUUAUAAACAAUACCUUCAAUUAAUUAAAAUUAUAUUUUAUAUUCAAUUUUUUUUUCAUUUUCUUCUUUCUAAAAGUUAUAUAAUUCUAUAUAUGUUCUCGUAAAUAUUUAAUUAAAAUAAUGAAAUUGAAUUAUAAUAUUAUUAAAUAAUAUUUACUAAGUUGAUAAAAAAAUUGGGAAGAAAAAUAAUAUAUCAUAAACUCUAUAAAUUUUAAAUAUAAAAAUAAUUCAAAUAUAUAUAUAUAUAUAUAUAUAUAUAUAUAUAUAUAUAUUUAAAUGAAAUAAUUUUUAAAAAUAUCAUUUGUGAUGGAAUAUGUCACUUGACAAUUGUAUAAUUACAAUUUGUGACAUAAACAUUGAGAGCGAGAUUAAAUUGUCACGAAUUUCAUUGGGAUGGUUUUUGUGACCGCGACACCUUGAGAGGAACAAAUUCAUCACAAAAUCCCCUCCAAAUCCAUAUUUCCAUAUUUACUUUGACCGAUUUUGUGACGAACAAUGUUAAGAGGGACAAAAGUCCACCACAAAAUCCCUUAAAAAGAAAUCUAUUUUAGUAACGGACUUGUGACAAAAAUUUUAGAGAAGGAAAAUUUCCUUCACUAAUUUCGUCUCAAAGUAACAAAUAAGCGUUUGUCACAAAAAUCUAUUAUCCAUCACAGCGGCGUCACUAUCAGUGAGGAACUAUCAAAUGUAAGAAUUAAUAACUAUUUGGAAUCCUACUGCAAAGGUAAAUGUAAAUAAUAAAAUGUCCCGCAUAAAAAAGAAUAAAAAAAUGUUGCAUACAAAUGCUAGCUCUCAAAAACACCGUAACUAAUAGAAAUUGUUAUCUCAUAAUAAAAAAUAGAAAUUGUCAUAUAAAAUUAAAAGUACCUAAUAUAUAUAAUGAAUAUAAAAGAUAUUAUAAGAAAAUAAUAACUACACAGUGUUUAGAAAGAAUAUAUUUUUUUAAAAUAUUUUAAUAAAAUUUAGUACUUGUUAAAUUAUAAUUUAGAACACCAACUAUAUAAAAAAAACAACUAUUUCUUUCUUUUUUAAGCAAAGUAUGAUGUAUUCUUUCUGUCUGAAUAUAAGUAUCACAUUUAAAAAAUAUAUAUCUUAAAAUAAGUAUCAUGUGAUUUUUUUGAUGUAAUACUAAUUAUUUUUUUACGAAUAUCUCAAAUAAGUAUUAUUUUAGUUUGUUAAUGUAAUAUUAAUGUUAAGGUUGGCUUUAUAAGGUUUCUAUUUCUUCCGUUCUAAAAUAAUAAUCAUUCUAAGUUGUUUUAUAAUUUAUUUAUUAGUUUAUUUGUAUAACAUAAUCUAAUAAGAUAUUUAUUUUAGGAUGAAGAGUGUAUUAUGUUUGAAGAUUAUGUAUUUAUAACUUUUUUGUGUUGAACCGAGCAACACUUGAUUACAAUGAAUUGAUUGUUGAACUCUUACUCAGAUAUAAAACAUUCAACCAAUGAAUACCACUUUCUCCAAAAUAAAGGUUAGGUUCCCCCACCUUGGAGUAUUGAUUAUUUGGCUCUGGUUAAUUACCACUUAAUUAGGAAGUGGCAGACUUGCAAGUUUGUACUCGUAAUGGACGCUAUUGGAGUGAGGGGGAGCGGGGGAAUUAUAAAAGCAUAAAGUGAAAAAUAUCUAACAAUUUGUUUAAUGGAUAAUAAUUUUCCCAAUAAAGUGUCAUAAUCAUGUGUUAGGCUUUUGCAUUAUUAAAAAUUAAAAAUUAAAAAUUAAAAAUUAAUUUGUAAUAAAGUACAAUACUUUUUAUUUAAUAACCGAAAUUUUAUAAUGACUUAAGAAGCAACGCUUUCAUAUUUUUCUUGAAUUUUUUAUAUUAAUGUAUAUUCUUUUUAUUUGUCCUAACUUAAUUAUUUUAAUUAGAUAUUGCUCACAACACUUUUUUUUUAACAAAACAUUGUUUUUUUUAAUGUAAGAGGAUUAUAUCAUUUCAUUAAUAUAUAAUAACAAUAUUGAUAUAAUCAGGAACACUAUAAAAAGGAUGUGAACUUUGCCUUUCAAAAAAAAAAAGGAUGUGGACUAGCAUAACAUUGCUGAAGAACGAGCUACUAGAUUUGACUUGCAAAACAUUGCUAACAACACUUUUACUAUAAUAUUUAAUAACAAACGGAUUUUAAUAACUUCAUUACCUAUAAACAAGUUUUCAAAUAAAGUUUAACUAAAAUUACGAGUAAAGAUCUAUCAUAUAAAUAUUCUUCAUAACAAUAUGCAUUCUACAGUUUUGUCAUAAGCACACUUAUCAUAAAUUAUUGAGGUGUAAUGUCCUUUCAUUUCGUCAUGAGCACAUUUAUAAUGAAUUAUCGAGCUGUAAUAUUCUCAGUUGAUAAAAAAAAAAAAGGUUUUAGAAGACAUUUAUUUCACGAAAUAUUUUAGUACUUUUAGAAAUACGAAAGUGAGAAUUCUUAAUUCCAAGCCUCAUAAUCGCAAAACAUAGCUAGCUACCACUAAUUGCAGUCACAAAGUCAUUUUUUUUCAUACUCAUCAACCUUUUUUGCCAUUUAUUAUUUUCUCCUCACAAUAGCUUUUUCUGUUCUUCUUUUUUCUCCCUCCCUCCUCUUUCAUUUCUUCUUCUUCUUAUUUUGCAGUUUUUUCAACACAAUACCUUCUUCUCACGUUUUUUCUUGUUAUUUUUUGCUUCUUCUCCAUUAAUGGAAUGGUAGCUAAUUUUUGCCCACUUUAUCUAUUGACAUUUGAGCUUACUAUAUUUCAAGAUGGAGCAUAUGGAUUUGUAGGAUCCUUUUAUGGUCUCUCAAUUAUUUGAAGAACCGUAUUUUUGUAGUUUUAUAGAGAUAUAUUUGUUAGUGCUUUAAUAUAGAUAUUUUAAUUUGUGUGCUUGAGAUAGUUGUUUUAAUUUGUAGUGCUUUUUUUUCUAUUUGUGUUUAGUGACACAUAAUUUGGAUUCUUGUUUUAGUUGUAUUUGUACCUCACUUGGAUAGUUGUAAUUUAAAAACCAUUCUGAAUAUAUAAUUAAACUUUGUGACACAUUAAAAUAUUAUAUUUGAACUUUUUGAGAGUUGUGGUGCACUUAUUCUACAAUUUGGAUAUAAGAGGCUAAAGCACUAAAGUUAAUAUAUGUAAAAUGGCUAAGAAAGUUCAUUUUUGUAGUAGUUCCUUAAUGCAAGUUGCAUCUAAUCCUUUGUUUACAUUCUAGAUUGAUUAAGAUUGCGUAUGUAUAGGCUGGCUACCUAGAAGAGAUGGGCAUAUGCAUCACGUUCUAGUGGGUUUAAUAUUUCUUUGGAGAAAUUAUUAGCUUGGUCGAAAGAUAUUUUGUUAAUGUAUUUUUUUAUAUAAAAAGUAUCUUUCAAUUGACAAUUAUAUACUAAUUAUUUUUUAGACAUAAAAAUCAUGAAUGUGCAUUUUGUGAUUCUGUAAAGUAAUUUAUAAGGUUGUUGAAGUUUAUGAUCUAUAAGUUAAAAACGGAAAAGCUGAGAAUUUCUAAAAACUAACUUAUAGAAUGGAAGUGUUUAGUGAAAUUAGAUAAUAAAUUAGUUAAUAAAUAUAAAAUGACAUUAAUGUAAAAUAUAAAAAAGAGUAAAAAAAAACAAGUCAAUUAGUAAGGAUAAAAAAAAUGAAAAAAAAAAAGUUAAUAACUUAUAAGGUAUAAGCUAAUAGAAGUAACUUAUAAAAAUAUAUAUAAGCAAGUUAAAUAAGCUCAUGUAGUAAACAAAUUUAUUUUUAUGAAACCAACUUAUAAUCACAGUCUUUUUCACAGUACUAGAGUGACUUGUGACUUGCCAAAACAAACUCAUAGAGCCUUUUUCAUACACACACAAUUAGAAAACAAUUCUAAUCAACAUAUUUAAGAGACCUAAUUCUUCUAAUUGUAUUGAUUUUUUAUUUUUAGUUUAUUAAUAUAUUUAUGAAUUAAAUUUUGGUUUAAAACUGCAAUAUCUUUUAACGUUAUUAUAAUCAAAUGCUGGAUAUAACUGUAUCAUUUUAAAAAUUAGCUUCAUAUUAAUUAUAAAUGGUUGAAAUCCCUAAAUUUUGUAGAGGAUGCAACAACAUAAACAAAUUAAGUUAAAUGAAAAUAUUUUACGAUAGUGUAUUAGAAAUACUACAUUUACAAUGUUUUAAUACACGAUUAAUUGUGUGCUGUACAUGUGUGUCUGUGUUAAAAUGUGUAUUUUAUUUUAUACGGUCUAUGAAAAUUUUGCUUUAGCUAAUUACAAUUUCUCAAAAACUGUAUGUUUUCCAUUGUUGUGACAUGUUCCAUCUAUAGUUGUCAUCUCUUAGUCCAAUCAAUAUUGGUUAGUGUUUUGAAUAUUAAUGAUGUUAACCUCGUUAGUUUCCUCUCCUUCUUACCUAGUACUACUGAACUCCAAAAACCAAAAAUGUCUUUUACCUCGAAGGUUUUUCUUUCUUUUGCUACUGAACACCAAAUUCAGGUUCACUUUAAUGAAUCUCACAUAAAAUCCAUUCAAUAAAGUCACAUAACAAUAGGAUUUAGAUUCUCUCCUGAAAAAUAAUCAGUACUAUGAUAAUGUCAUGCUAUGAGUCACAAAGCCACAAAUUAAUUGCAAUAAAAAGUAAAGCCCAUUAUUUGUGUAGGUUCCAUCAAUUUUAUGUGUCUAUGACGUUGGUCACUAUAAUUUAAAUGUUUGAAUAUAAUCAACAAGUAAUUAAAGGGAAGGGUGAGCUGAAAAUUUCUAUAUAAAGAUUGGAUAUUUGGUCUUCAACCACAACCCAAAAACUACUGAAAUUCCCAAAGGCAAAAAACAAAAAUACAAGAUGAAGAGCAAGUUCCUUUUUGUUUUCCUAUUCUUGGGAAUUCUUAACUGUGAAGCACAAUAUUUCAAUGCCAACCCAUACGACUAUUUACAACUAGCCUUAAGGUGGCCUAAUUCCUAUUGCUUGACACAUGAAGGUGGUUGCAGGGAAAUAGUACCACAAUAUUUCACUAUUAGCUACCUUCAUCCCAUGAGAAGAGGAGGCCCUGAUCUGCGAAAUUGCCCCUCACCAUUUAAUAUGCCAAAUAGCACUGUUAGUAUCUCUUGCAUUCCCAUACAUUUUUUGUGUUUUGUUUUCAAGUUUCCUUCACGGAGAUUGUCCUUGAAAUCUGAUUAGACUAAGAUUUUAUUUGGUGGUUCAAUUUUCCCCUAAGAAAAAAUAAUAAAGUAAAAUAAAUUAAAUUUAUUUCAUAAGUUAAAUAAAUUUAUUAUAAACUCGUUGAAUGAAAGAGUUUUUAGUAAAGCUCAGUGUGAUAUAUAUACAAAAAAAAUUAUUCAUUUUAUAUUGUUAUUUAUAUAUAUAUAUAUAUAUAUAUAUAUAUAUAUAUAUAUAUAUAUAUAUAUAUAUAUAUAUAUAUAUAUAUAUAUAUAUAUAUAUAUCAAGAAGUUUAUCUAAACAUGACUCUUCAAAUUAGUUUGUGUAGCUGAAGAAUUCAAUAAAUUGUAUACAUGCAGAUGGAGACAAACAAGAAUGACCUACUCAAAUACUGGCCUGAUCUGAGAACUGAUAAUUUUAUUGAGAGCAAGUCAUUAUGGAGGGACCAAUGGAGAAUGUUUGGUUCAUGCUAUAGUAUGAUGCCAGAUGACUAUAUUGUUUAUGCACUCAACAGUAGAAAGAGAAAUGACCUCAAGAAAAUCUUGACAAAUGCAGGUAAAUAAGUAAUUCAAGUUCAUGUUUCACACACAAAAAGUUAGGGGAAAAAAAAUAAAACGUGAUGUUGUUUUGAGGUUGCAUUAUUUAUCUUAUAAUUGCUAGAGUUUUUGGUAUCCCCUUGACAGUUAGGAAUGAGUUACUAUGUUAAUAUAAUGUUCUUUCUUGAAAUUUUCA